UGCAGUGCGCAAAAAUAUUUCGCAAAAUUAAUCGACGAAAUUCAGACUCUUGGCACACUUUGGUGCAUUUGUCGAGCUUCGGGUCUAGUCGCAUAUAGUAUUUGUAUCGGCCAUCUGUAUUAUGUUGUUUUAUAUAUUGCGUUAUCUGUGAAUCGCCGACGAAACCGACGAAACCGUGAGCUGUGAUUACGCGUCUAUACUGCAGUCUCUGGUACAACAAUACGUUUAUUAAAUAAUAAAUUAUUGUCUUGUAAACAAAUAUACGAUGUAUGAUUUAGAUUACGUAUCUGUGUAUCGUUUAGUUCCCGCGGAGUCCGAACAGCGUAUUAGGUACACUAUAUAUCGUAUAUAUAUAAUAUGUAUACGAGACGGAUGAAAAUCAAUCUCGUUUAUUGAAACAGAG